CCUACGGGUGGCAGCAGUGGGGAAUAUUGCGCAAUGGGCGAAAGCCUGACGCAGCGACGCCGCGUGAGGGAUGAAGGUCUUCGGAUCGUAAACCUCUGUCAGCAGGGAAGAACGGUCACUGUGCUAAUCAGCAGUGAAUUGACGGUACCUGCAAAGGAAGCACCGGCUAACUCCGUGCCAGCAGCCGCGGUAAUACGGAGGGUGCGAGCGUUAAUCGGAAUUACUGGGAGUAAAGCGCUCGUAGGCGGUAUGUCAAGGCAAGGGUGAAAUCCCCGCGCUCAACGGGGGAACUGCCUUUGAAACUGGCAAACUGGAGUGUGUGAGAGGAUAGGGGAAUUCCAGGUGUAGGAGUGAAAUGCGUAGAUAUCUGGAGGAACAUCAGUGGCGAAGGCGACUAUCUGGCACAUAACUGACGCUGAGGAGCGAAAGCGUGGGUAGCAAACAGGAUUAGAUACCCCAGUAGUC
rnacentral:rRNA from 1 species